GCCUUCGUGGUGUAACGGUCAGCACACUCGGCGCGUAUUCGAGAGGAUCGAGGUUCAAGUCCCGGCGAGGGCA
rfam:Stegodyphus mimosarum contig2060, whole genome shotgun sequence.